UCUCGACUAGUAUAUCGGUUUAGUACACGCGCCUGUCAUCCUCUUGAUUAUGUCGUAAUUGGAUCGCGCGAAAGCUGGGUUCGACUCCCAGGUCGAGAG